GAAACAGUACAUGGUCAUGGCCGAUCAAGAGAAAAAGUUGGUGCAAUUGCAAUAUCAAAAUAUAAAGCAAACUACUUUAUUGUUCUAAAAGUAGAAAUUUCACAUUUAGUUAAACCUACCAGAGGACCCAUUCAUGUUCAAAAGUUAAAAGCUUUGAAAACGGAGAAAGAUUAUAUGAAAGAGUAGUGACCUUACACCAAACAGUUUCAUAUCAAAUGCUCAAGCAUGGUUUUCAAGAAAAUGACUCAGGAGAUUUGAUUUGAUCUCUCUGUUCUUCAACUGCCGCAGAUACUCAACCAUAAGAGCUUACAGAAGCUUGCGUUAUGGUAAGCCUUAUGCUACAUACCUGGAAUCCUGUAAACAUCACACUCGGGUCACAUGUCUGGGUCAAGGAUCCAUAACUUGCAUGGACUAAUCGAGAAGUGACAGAAAUCAAAGGCACUAAUGCAACAAUACUCACUGCAGAUGGGAAAACAAUUGUUGCUAGUAUCUCUAGCCUCUAUCCAAAGAAUACAGAGGCGCCACCUGCAGGAGUUGAUGACAUGACUAAACUGGCUUACCUCCAUCAGCCAGAGGUCCUCCACAAUCUUGCUUGCUGGUUAUCACUAAAUGAGAUAUAUACUUAAAAUGGAAACAUCUUGAUUGCUGUGAAUCCAUUCCAAAGACCUCCACAUUUGUAUAGCGUCCAUAUGAUGGAGCAGUAUAAAGGAGCUGCGUUUGGAGAGCUAAGCCCACAUCUGUUUGCCGGUUGCAGACACCAGUUAUAGGUAACAAGUUGUUAAUCAACGAAUAGAAAAUUACUGUAUUAGCUAACGCUUUCCAUGUAUGCCAAGGCGAUGAUAAAUGAGGCAAAGAGCAAGUCUAUUUUGGUUAGUGGAGAGAGUGGAGCUGGGAAGACGGAGACAACCAAAAAGCUCAUGAGAUAUCUUGCAUUCAUGGGAGGCAGAUAAGAUAAAUAAGAGAGAAAAGUGUUCGACAAGUUGUUCUAGAGGUGAGUAUUACCUGCUCUGUUUAUUUUUAAAUGACUAGGAGAUUUUGGGCCUGGGGCUAGGCAUAUUCCAUAUUAAGAGAACAGAGAGCUACAGGUUGCAAGAGUCAAUGGUGUCCAAAAUACUCAUGAUUCAUACGACAAACAAAGAGCUAGUCAAAUAUUCUACAUCAAAUAUUUUUAAAUAAAUCAACAUGCACAAUGAGAACGACGCUUAAGGAGACGGAGGAUGAACAUGAAUCGGUUGAGUAGCUGCACUAGUAUGCAAGGGUGUCCAAUCCCAUGCAUAGUUGGAGUGCUGUUCAAAACUAUCAGCUGCAUCACUUGGCUUCGCUAAGAAAAUGGUGUAUCCGGAGUAGUAAAGAUAAUCCAUUGAAGUUGCAAAACUUGAAUCACCUGCAUCAGGUGCAAAGUCACAAAAUGAACCAAACACGAUUCAUUGUUGUAUAGAGAAGGGGUGCAAAAAUUUUCAGUCACCUGUAAUUAAGAGUAUAUUCCAUGGUCCGGAAUCUCGGUGAACGUCAGCAUAAUGUACCAACAAUGACUCUAAACCGAGCUCAGCGGCAAGUCUUUUCUGAUCAGGCAGAAGAUGAGCAUGUUCACCGCAAAACGGAUUUCUUCUGGGAGCAUAGUAACAAUCGAAACGUUGGUCUACGAGAAGGCUCCUUUCAAUUGCAGUUAUAUCCCCACAAAGAAAUCUGUUAUUUCUGCAGAUGCGAUACUCAUGGCCAUGGGGAACCUGGCCUAAACCGCUUUCAAUGUUGGAGAUUAGAGUUCUAGCAGAGGCCUCAGACUCAAUAGGGCAUGAGCACGUGUUCCAGUCCCAAAACGUGG